ACCUGGCUUGGUCAGUCAGUAGAACAUCUGACCUCACUCUUGGGUUGUGAGUUCAAGCUCCACAUUGGACAUAGAACUUGAGAGAAAGAGA